GGCAUGCUUUACACAUGCAAGUCGAACGGUAACAGGUCUUCGGAUGCUGACGAGUGGCGAACGGGUGAGUAAUACAUCGGAACGUGCCUAGUAGUGGGGGAUAACUACUCGAAAGAGUAGCUAAUACCGCAUGAGAUCUACGGAUGAAAGCAGGGGACCUUCGGGCCUUGUGCUACUAGAGCGGCUGAUGGCAGAUUAGGUAGUUGGUGGGGUAAAGGCUUACCAAGCCUGCGAUCUGUAGCUGGUCCGAGAGGACGACCAGCCACACUGGGACUGAGACACGGCCCAGACUCCUACGGGAGGCAGCAGUGGGGAAUUUUGGACAAUGGGCGAAAGCCUGAUCCAGCAAUGCCGCGUGCAGGAUGAAGGCCCUCGGGUUGUAAACUGCUUUUGUACGGAACGAAAAGCCUGGGGCUAAUAUCCCCGGGUCAUGACGGUACCGUAAGAAUAAGCACCGGCUAACUACGUGCCAGCAGCCGCGGUAAUACGUAGGGUGCAAGCGUUAAUCGGAAUUACUGGGCGUAAAGCGUGCGCAGGCGGUUUUGUAAGACAGUGGUGAAAUCCCCGGGCUCAACCUGGGAACUGCCAUUGUGACUGCAAGGCUAGAGUGCGGCAGAGGGGGAUGGAAUUCCGCGUGUAGCAGUGAAAUGCGUAGAUAUGCGGAGGAACACCGAUGGCGAAGGC
rnacentral:rRNA from 1 species